AGUGAACGCUGGCGGCGUGCCUAACACAUGCAAGUCGAACGAGAACGGAAUAUAGCUUGCUAUAUUUGUCAGCUAAGUGGCGCACGGGUGAGUAAUGUAUAGAUAACCUGCCCUUAAGAAAGGAAUAACAGUUGGAAACGACUGCUAAUGCCCUAUAUGCCUUUAAUACAUAAGUAUGCAAGGGAAACGCUUUAGUGCUUAAGGAUGGGUCUGUAUGGUAUCAGCUUGUUGGUGAGGUGAUGGCUCACCAAGGCUAUGACGCCUAACUGGUUUGAGAGGGUGAUCAGUCACACUGGAACUGAGACACGGUCCAGACUCCUACGGGAGGCAGCAGUGGGGAAUAUUGCACAAUGGACGAAAGUCUGAUGCAGCAACGCCGCGUGGAGGAUGACACUUUUCGGUGCGUAAACUCCUUUUAUAUAGGAAGAUAAUGACGGUACUAUAUGAAUAAGCACCGGCUAACUCCGUGCCAGCCGCCGCUGUAA
rnacentral:rRNA from 1 species